AGUCGUUUCUGUCCCGUUCUUAUGUAGAAGACGGUUUCGUUUUAAUCUGGUUUUUCUAAUAAUAUUUUCAAUAAUACAAUAACCAUACAUGCAGAAAAAAAAAAAUGUAAUAUUUAUACAGUAGUAAAUUUAAAUCGAAAUACUUAUGCACACUUCACAACCGGUUUCUACUGUUUUUUUGUAUAGAACCAGAAUAAAAUGUAUAAAAUACUAUUAUAU